rnacentral:rRNA from 1 species
UACGUAGGGGCAAGCGUUGUCCGGAUUUAUUGGGCGUAAAGAGCGUGUAGGCGGCCAGAUAGGUCCGUUGUGAAAACUCGAGGCUCAACCUCGAGACGCCGAUGGAAACCAUCUGGCUAGAGUCCGGAAGAGGAGAGUGGAAUUCCCGGUGUAGCGGUGAAAUGCGCAGAUAUCGGGAAGAACACCCGUGGCUAAGGCGGCUCUCUAGUACGGUACUGACGCUGAGACGCGAAAGCGUGGGGAGCGAACAGG